UCUAGAGUCAAAGUCCAGCUGAUGGAAAGGAGGAGAAAUCAGCUACAAAAAAGAAGAGAGGAAGAGAUGACGGAACAUACAACAUCUCAGAAAUUAUGUCCAAA